GAAAGCCAUUUCAAGGCAUUCACAAAUCCUUGACUUGCUCUGACUAUGAGAUUUAAGGGAUACAAUUCAUCACAGCUCCUCAGUUUCCAUCUGCUUUUGUUUGAAAGGUGCCAUGCCAUGCCCAAACCCUUGUACCCUUAAACUUUUGCUUUAUUUUUAGCAAAGAAGAUCCUUUAUAUACUUGAGGUGGACCAUCUGUCUCCUGAGAGGGGAUGUCAGAAUAACCCUCAUGACCAGGGAGCUUUAUCAGCCUUAUUUGCAUUGCAGGCAUUAAAGAUCCAGGUACAGCUCUGCUGCUAGAGAAGUCGGCAGGGUGGCUCUGCACAUCAGCUCAAAGCUGUACUGGUGACAGCCGCUUAUACGCCAGUCCUCAGGCACCGGCUCACCAGCCCUCCAUACCGGCCCCAAACGCUGUCGGGGCAAAAAGACGGACAAAAAAGCUCAGCGGGAGCCCCGUCUGAGCAGGGAGCAGCGUCCUGCUAUUGCCACCUCGUGGGCCCUUGCAGCAAUAACCAGGUAACCCAACACGUGUUUCUUCAGUGUUGCUUUCUCAUCCCUAUUGCAGCCUGCGGAGACCAGCAGUGCUGCUCUGGGUUUUUUGAAGGAAGCUGUGAACCACGAAGAAGACCUGAGACAUACUUACAUCCUGUACCUGAGGUGUUUUCCUGCUGCUCCCUGUACUGUCUGUCAUAGACUGGAGACCAGCGGUGGUAUUUGCUGUGCAUUUCACACUAGUGCCUGUGGUUCUAUCAUGCAACAACAGAGAGGAGCACUCAUUCCCACAGCAGGCAGCAAAAGGUGUAAAAUGAAGAAACCAGAGUCCAGUAACUGGAGAUGAACCAGGGGAUCACUGCCACAGCCUCCUGGCCUUGAUGUGUGGCUGCUGAGGCCCAACCUCUGCUGAAUCCCUCCAUGGACCCUCACUUGCUUACUAGGACCCUUCUAAGGACUGUUUGAACAAGAAAGACAUCUGCCCAGGUUUCCCAAAUCCUGCUGCCUUCUACAUCAGAACUCAUCAGCGAAACCCCGACUGCUUAGGGAAAAGAAGUUAUCCUGGCUGCAGAGACUUUGUUGAGAGUCAAAGACUUUUUUUUUUCCUCCAGCUUUGUUAUUCCUUUGCUUUGUGAUUAUUAGUAAUGUCGGUUCUGUGUUUUAACUGCUGCUGUGCUGCCCCAGCCCUUUUUCUUCAUCUUCUCUGUCUUUGCUCCCUUUUCUCCUCUGGCUCAGCAGCCCUCUCGCUCACUCACACAAGCACAAGGUGAUUAUGAUAACCACAGCUCAUCAUUUGCCUCUUCCUGGAAAACUGGGCCUCAGAUUGCAGGCUUUAGCAUCAGCAACUCAGCCUUUGUGAGAUUUUGAACACUGCGGUAGGACAGGAGGCAGAUUGCUUGCUGAAAGUGAAGCUCCUGGUUGAAUGGAAGGGCACUGCUUUUGCAGGGUACAUUUCAAGAUGUACGUGCCUGGUUUGGGCAGAGGCAAAGGCAGAGCCGUAUUCAGGUGAGCAUCAUGCAGACAGGAGGUUUUGCUUCCUGGAGACAGUUUUACCCUGGGCUACAAAAGGGGAGACACUGAGUUGUGCCCUGCUCCUGGCAGAACGCAGCUCUUGCUGUAUGGCAGUGCCAUGCUGCCGUUAUCCUUUCAUCCAGUCCCAAGAAGUCUGGAUCCUUUUCUCAUCUGCUUCACAGGGAAAGGCCCCUGUAAACUUCAGUGGGAAUUUAGUAAUCUAUUUCACUGCUCAAUUUUAACUUAUUUUUAAACCAGGUUCUUUUGUGUUAGAAAUAUGGACUUUCCACUGCCUGAAACAACUGUGGG